rnacentral:rRNA from 1 species
UACGUAGGGGGCAAGCGUUGUCCGGAUUUAUUGGGCGUAAAGAGCGUGUAGGCGGCCAGAUAGGUCUGCUGUGAAAACUCGAGGCUCAACCUCGAGCUGUCGGCGGAAACCAUUUGGCUAGAGUCCGGAAGAGGAAAGUGGAAUUCCUGGUGUAGCAGUGAAAUGCGCAGAUAUCAGGAAGAACACCCGUGGCGAAGGCGGCUUUCUGGGACGGUACUGACGCUGAGACGCGAAAGCGUGGGGAGCGAACAGG